AUUCUUUUGUAGUCCAUAAGCGUGAUGAUUAGGUAUUCAUGCCGCUGUGUGACAUGUGCCUCCCUCCAAUCCUGCUAUGACCUCGGCACAUGACCCAUGUGACG
ensembl:snoRNA